AAAAUUUGUUGUUAAUUUGAUUUAUAUGUAAAUUUUUGUAUGAAUUAAUAUUAAUUUUAAAAAUUUUUAUAAUUUAUUAUAACCGCAGUAAUUAAUUUUAUUAAUUAAAGAAAUUUAGAAAUAGCAAUAUUAAAUAGUAUAGAUUAAAUUGGUGCCAGCAAUCGCGGUUACACCAAUUAUACAAAUAAAUUUUUUUAGUAAUAGUUAAAUUUGAUUUGAUAAAUAUAAUUUAAAUUAAAUUUAUUAAGUGAAAUUUUAAAUUUAAAUUUUUAUAAAUUAAUAUGUUGAAGCUAAAAAAUUUUAAUUAA
rnacentral:rRNA from 1 species